GGAUGUGAAGGCUAUCUGGCUGCGACUUCUGUCACCCCAUUGAUCGCCAGGGUUGAUUCGGCUGAUCUGGCUGGCUAGGCGGGUGUUCCCUUCCUCCCUCACCCCACUCCAUGUGUGUCCCUCCCGAAGCUGCGCCCUCGGUCGAAGAGGACGAUCAUCCCCGAUAGAGGAGGACCAGUCUUGGGUCAAGGGUAUACGAGUAGCUGCGCUCCCCUGCUAGAACCUCCAAACAAGCUCUCAAAAAUAAUGCCCGUUUACAUAUUUGCCAAUAAUACAUAAAGUAUGGGGUAGUAGUUAAAAGACAUGGUCUGUGGAUCCAUACUGUCUGGGUUC
ensembl:misc_RNA 7SK 7SK RNA